rnacentral:misc_RNA from 1 species
ACUCUCAUUUCUAGAGCUCACCAGCUUGUCAUGGAAGGAUACAAUUGGUCCCAGGACAAGAAUGUGGUUACUGUUUUCAGUGCACCAAACUACUGCUAUCGGUGUGGGAAUAUGGCUGCAAUACUUGAGAUUGGGGAUAAUAUGGAGCAGAAUUUCCUUCAAUUUGAUCCAGCACCACGUCAGGUUGAACCUGACACCACACGCAGAACUCCUGACUAUUUUUUGUAAUUGUCAUAGCAUGCCCUCAGCGGGCAAUUUUUCAAAUUCUCUGUCAUGGUUUUGUAGAGGAAUCUUAUAGAAUAGGGGAUUUUUGGAGUUUACCUGAUAAAGGGACAAAAAGAAACAUUGUUAUUGUCAUUCUUUUGGUUGGAAUUGUUCUACUGGUUCUGCAUUUAUGUGAAUUUAUAGGUUACUUUGUAGUUGGUUUUUGUCUUGUAUUUUAGAAAGUGAAGGAACAGCAAUAACAAG